rnacentral:rRNA from 1 species
CCUGCCCGGUGACCUAGUGUUAAACGGCCGCGAUAUCCUAAUCGUGCAAAGGUAGCGCAAUCAAUUGUCUCAUAAAUCGAGACCUGUAUGAAUGGCUAAACGAGGUCUUAACUGUCUCUUACAGGCAAUCGGUGAAAUUGAUCUCCCUGUGCAAAAGCAGGGAUAAACACAUAAGACGAGAAGACCCUGUGGAACUUCAAAAUAAGCAGCCACACUACAACACAUUCACACCCACUGGGUUCACGCAUAUAAAGUCUCUGGCAUGCAUUUUUCGGUUGGGGCGACCUUGGAGAAAAACAGAUCCUCCAAAAAUUGGACCAAAACUCUAGACUAAGAGCGACUUCUCAACGUGCUAAUAGCACCCAGACCCAAUAUAAUUGAUCAAUGGACCAAGCUACCCCAGGGAUAACAGCGCAAUCUCCUCCGAGAGUCCGUAUCGACGAGGGGGUUUACGACCUCGAUGUUGGAUCAGGACAUCCUAGUGGUGCAGCCGCUACUAAGGGUUC